CUUCUUGCUGUUCCGUUUCUUCAUCCACAUUUUCCAACGAUUCCGCUUCGUCAAAUCCAUCGACAGUCGGUUCAGGUUCAGGCUCAGGUUCCGGUUCCGGUUCCUGUUCGGCUUCGAGCUCGGAUUCCUGCUCAGCUUGAUUUUUAUUUACCAUAUCCGAUUCUGCGCAACAAUCAUAGAUGUCACCUGAGAUUCGUUAACCUCCGCCACCGGUUCUAGUGACAUAUCUUCGUUUUCGCUAAGGUCAGCGUCAUCAUCCCCAUUGUCAGCUACAGUAUCGCCCUCUUCCGGUGUGACUUCGAUGAUUACAGCUUCGUCCGGCUCCAAGCUGCGAUCGUCGGGCGUUUCGUCGUUCGCUACAAAAAAUGACGUUGCGGUCUCCUGCACACAUCGGCGAGUUCAUCCAUCAAAAAUCUUUUGUUUUUCGCCUCGUUUCGCCGAUAUUUACAAUACGAGAAUAGCAACACGCAUAUUGAAGUUGUUUUUAGUAUAAUACAGGGCUUUACGCUUUA